CCCUAGCCCUGAUUGAAGCAUUUGUUUGAGCUCAUUUUUUUGGAUUUGGCUGCGGCGGCAAAGCCGCCGCAGCCAAAUCCAAAAAAAUGAGCGAGUGCGGAAAGCAGGAAAAAGC
rnacentral:sRNA from 1 species